rnacentral:rRNA from 1 species
ACGAACGCUGGCGGCAGGCCUAACACAUGCAAGUCGAGCGAGGACUUCGGUCCUAGCGGCGGACGGGUGAGUAACGCGUGGGAACGUGCCCUUUGCUUCGGAAUAGCCCUGGGAAACUGGGAGUAAUACCGGAUGAGCCCUUUGGGGGAAAGAUUUAUCGGCGAAGGAUCGGCCCGCGUUGGAUUAGGUAGUUGGUGGGGUAAUGGCCUACCAAGCCGACGAUCCAUAGCUGGUUUGAGAGGAUGAUCAGCCACACUGGGACUGAGACACGGCCCAGACUCCUACGGGAGGCAGCAGUGGGGAAUCUUAGACAAGGGGGGAAACCCUGAUCUAGCCAUGCCGCGUGAGCGAUGAAGGCCUUAGGGUUGUAAAGCUCUUUCAGCUGGGAAGAUAAUGACGGUACCAGCAGAAGAAGCCCCGGCUAACUCCGUG